UCCGAAUUGGUGUAGUGGCUAACAUUUGACGCUCUCAUUAUACGGUGCCGUCAAGCCCGGGGUUCGAUUCCCCGAUUCGGAG
rnacentral:tRNA from 1 species